rnacentral:rRNA from 1 species
AUUGAACGCUGGCGGCAUGCCUUACACAUGCAAGUCGAACGGCAGCACGGGAGCAAUCCUGGUGGCGAGUGGCGAACGGGUGAGUAAUAUAUCGGAACGUGCCCAGUCGUGGGGGAUAACGCAGCGAAAGCUGUGCUAAUACCGCAUACGAUCUAAGGAUGAAAGCGGGGGAUCGCAAGACCUCGCGCGAUAGGAGCGGCCGAUAUCAGAUUAGCUAGUUGGUGGGGUAAAGGCCCACCAAGGCGACGAUCUGUAGCUGGUCUGAGAGGACGACCAGCCAUACUGGAACUGAGACACAGUCCAGACUCCUACGGGAGGCAGCAGUGGGGAAUUUUGGACAAUGGGCGCAAGCCUGAUCCAGCAAUGCCGCGUGCAGGAUGAAGGCCUUCGGGUUGUAAACUGCUUUUGUACGGAACGAAACGGCCCUUUCUAAUACAGGGGGCUAAUGACGGUACCGUAAGAAUAAGCACCGGCUAACUACGUGCCAGCCGCCGCGGUAA